rnacentral:lncRNA from 10 species
CAGCGAUUACAAAAAUAUUCCAAGAAUUAAGGUUCUUUGGACAGAGGAUAAUGAUACCAGAAGGAAACCUGGAACAUCCCAAACAAAGGAAGAACAACAGUAAUGAGCAGAUCCUCAAACACAGCCUGCAUCUCUCCCUGCUCCCCUCCCACCCUCCAGUUUUCCAGCCAGAGGCAUUUGCUCUAAGGCCCAGGCUGUGGCCCACCUAUCACCGCUACCCAAGUAGUACAGGAAAAGGAAAUUUGAAGAGGAAAAGAGGCACCAGGGAUGAGGACACACCGAGAAAAGACCAUGUGAAGACAUGGCGAGAAGACAGCCAGCUGCAAGCCAAGGAGUGAGGCCUCAGAAGAAACCAACCCUGCCGACACCUUGACCUUGGACUUCUAGUCUCUAGAAUUAUGCGAAAAUAAAUUCCUGUUGUUUAAGCCACCCACUCUGUAGUAUUUUGUUAUGGCAGCCCCAAGCAAACUAAUACAGUAUCCUUGAAGAAAGAAGAAUUAUAAAACCUAACAGUUAAGGGGCAGUUAAUUGACAUAUUAAUAAUUCAUUUAGUCUUCUCUUCACAGAAACUCUCUAUAGGAGUUAUUACCAUUUAUCACCAUUUUACAGAGGAGAAAACUGAGGCACAAGAGGUCAAGUAACCUGCUUCAAAGUCAUAACUAGUAAGUGACAGAGGCAGUUUCUUCACUCUCAGUCCUCUAAAAAGCAAAGCCCAAGGUUAAAGUGCUGACAUUUAGU